UCAAAUCCAACAAUGAACUAUUAAUAUCUACUCUUUCUUGACAUUUAUUCAUCUUAUUCCUUCUUUUCCUUCUUCAUCUUCAACACCACCUUAAACACAUUCAUAUCAAAAUCCAACCCAACUUUUUUAUAAAAAAAAACACAAUUAAACUCAAAACUUUAAAAUACAAAUUCAAUUAAGUGCGUAAAACAUAAAUUUUUCAUACAAAUCUUAACAUAAAAACUCAAAUCACAUAUUUUCCAACUUUACAAAUUUUAUUGGAC
rnacentral:lncRNA from 1 species